CUGUGCAAAGGUAGCAUAAUCAUUAGUCUUGUAAUUUAGGACUGGAAUGAAUGGUUUAACCAAAGUAAUCUUGUCUUUUAAUAAUAUUUUGAAUUUUAUAUUUUAGUAAUAAAGCUAAAAUUAAUUUGAGGGACGAGAAGACCCUAUCAAGUUUUACAAAUUUAUAUUAUUUUCAGUUUAAUAAAUUGUUUGUUUAGCUGGGGCAGCUUAUAGAAUAAAUUCUAUUUUUUUAUUGUAAUUUUAAAUUUUGUUUUAUCUUAAAUUUUAAAAUUAAAAAUAAAUUACUGUAGGGAUAACAGCAUAAUUUUUUUAAAGAGUUCUUAUCAUAAAAGAAGUUUGUGACCUCGAUGUUGGAUUAAGAGACCUAUUUAGCGCAAAAGUUAGUUUAGGAAGUCUGUUCGAAAAUUCUUCCAUGAUCUGAGUUCA
rnacentral:rRNA from 1 species